rnacentral:rRNA from 1 species
ACUCCUACGGGAGGCAGCAGUGGGGAAUAUUGCACAAUGGGGGAAACCCUGAUGCAGCCAUGCCGCGUGUGUGAAGAAGGCCUUCGGGUUGUAAAGCACUUUCAGCGAGGAGGAAAGGUUGGUAGCUAAUAACUGCCAGCUGUGACGUUACUCGCARAAGAAGCACCGGCUAACUCCGUGCCAGCAGCCGCGGUAAUACGGAGGGUGCAAGCGUUAAUCGGAAUUACUGGGCGUAAAGCGCACGCAGGCGGUUGGAUAAGUUAGAUGUGAAAGCCCCGGGCUCAACCUGGGAAUUGCAUUUAAAACUGUCCAGCUAGAGUCUUGUAGAGGGGGGUAGAAUUCCAGGUGUAGCGGUGAAAUGCGUAGAGAUCUGGAGGAAUACCGGUGGC